rnacentral:rRNA from 1 species
GAUCAUGGCUCAGGAUGAACGCUAGCUACAGGCUUAACACAUGCAAGUCGAGGGGCAGCAUGAACUUAGCUUGCUAAGUUUGAUGGCGACCGGCGCACGGGUGAGUAACACGUAUCCAACCUGCCGAUGACUCGGGGAUAGCCUUUCGAAGAAAGAUUAAUACCCGAUGGCAUAGUUCUUCGGCAUGGUAGAACUAUUAAAGAAUUUCGGUUCAUCGAUGGGGAUGCGUUCCA